rnacentral:rRNA from 1 species
UCCUGGCUCAGGAUGAACGCUAGCGACAGGCUUAACACAUGCAAGUCGAGGGGCAGCGGAGGCAGUAGCAAUACUGCCUGCCGGCGACCGGCGCACGGGUGAGUAACACGUAUGCAACCUACCCUUGUCAGGGGGAUAAGCCGGAGAAAUCCGGUCUAAUACCGCGUGACAUCGGGAUUCCGCAUGGGAUUCCGAUCAAAGGAGCAAUCCGGACAAGGAUGGGCAUGCGGCGCAUUAGCUAGUUGGCGGGGUAACGGCCCACCAAGGCGACGAUGCGUAGGGGUUCUGAGAGGAAGGCCCCCCACACUGGUACUGAGACACGGACCAGACUCCUACGGGAGGCAGCAGUGAGGAAUAUUGGUCAAUGGGCGCGAGCCUGAACCAGCCAAGUCGCGUGAGGGAAUAAGGUCCUAUGGAUUGUAAACCUCUUUUGUCGGGGAGCAAUGAGCGUCACGCGUGAUGCGUUGAGAGUACCCGAAGAAAAAGCAUCGGCUAACUCCGUGCCAGCAGCCGCGGUAAUAC